rnacentral:rRNA from 1 species
UACCCGCAGCCCAAGUGGUGAUCGUUAUUAUUGGGCUUAAAACGUCCGUAGCCGGUCAGGUAAAUCUCUGGGUAAAUCUACUGGCCUAACCAGCCGAAUUCCGGAGAGACUACCUGACUUGGGACCGGGUGAGGGUGGAGGUACUUCAGGGGGAGGGGUGAAAUCCUUUAAUCCUUGAAGGACCACCAGUGGCGAAAGCGUCCACCUAGAACGGCUCCGACGGUAAGGGACGAAACCCUGGGGCGCAAACGGG